rnacentral:rRNA from 1 species
GCUUACGGCCACACCGCCUGGUUCACGCCGGAUCUCGGAAGCUAAGAUAGGUUGGGCCUGGUUAGUACUUGGAUGGGAGACCGCCUAGGAAUACCAGGUGCUGUAAAGC